CCUACGGGAGGCAGCAGUGAGGAAUAUUGGUCAAUGGACGGAAGUCUGAACCAGCCAUGCCGCGUGCAGGAAGACGGCUCUAUGAGUUGUAAACUGCUUUUGUACAAGGGUAAACCUGAAUACGUGUAUUCAGCUGAAAGUACUGUACGAAUAAGGAUCGGCUAACUCCGUGCCAGCAGCCGCGGUAAUACGGAGGAUCCAAGCGUUAUCCGGAUUUAUUGGGUUGAAAGGGUGCGUAGGCGGGUUGAUAAGUUAGAGGUGAAAUGUCCGAGCUUAACUCGGGAACUGCCUCUAAUACGUUGGAUCUAGAGAGUAGAUGCGGUAGGCGGAAUGUAUGGUGUAGCGGUGAAAUGCUUAGAGAUCAUACAGAACACCGAUUGCGAAGGCAGCUUACCAAUCUAUAUCUGACGUUGAGGCACGAAAGCGUGGGGAGCAAACAGGAUUAGAUACCCUAGUAGUC
rnacentral:rRNA from 1 species